rnacentral:rRNA from 1 species
AGUGAACGCUGGCGGUAGGCCUAACACAUGCAAGUCGAACGGCAGCACAGUAAGAGCUUGCUCUUACGGGUGGCGAGUGGCGGACGGGAGAGGAAUACAUCGGAAUCUACUUUUUCGUGGGGGAUAACGUAGGGAAACUUACGCUAAUACCGCAUACGACCUACGGGGGAAAGCAGUGGAUCUUCGGACCUUGCGCGAUUGAAUGAGCCGAUGUCGGUUUAGCUAGUUGGCGGGGUAAAGGCCCACCAAGGCGACGAUCCGUAGCUGGUCUGAGAGGCUGAUCGCCCACACGGGAACUUGGACACGGUCAAUACUCCUACGGGAGGCAGCAGUGGGGAAUAUUGGGCAAUGGGCGCAAGCCUGAUCCAGCCAUACCGCGUGGGUGAAGAAGGCCUUCGGGUUGUAAAGCCCGUUUGUUGGGAAAGAAAAGCAGCAGGUUAAUACCCCGCUGUUCUGACGGUACCCAAAGAAUAAGCACCGGCUAGCUUCGUG